CUCCUUUGGUCACCUCCCGAAGUCCAAGAUGAGUUUCAAGAGCCACAUGUCUAUGAGACCCUCCUACCUGGACUUAGCUGACUGCAGCAGGAGGGACAUGUGAUCCAAGCUGGAGCACACAGAAUCUCUCUCCUGGGAUGUGGAGCUGAGAGACACUGAGAUCAGGAGAUGGGAGCUGAUUCCUAUUAAUGACAGGUCUGGAGCGAAGGAACUGCUGGAGAUAAAAGCAAAUGUCUUAGAAGAGCAAGUGUGAUAUG
rnacentral:lncRNA from 1 species